GACGAACGCUGGCGGCGUGCUUAACACAUGCAAGUCGAACGGAAAGGCCCUGCUUUUGUGGGGUGCUCGAGUGGCGAACGGGUGAGUAACACGUGAGUAACCUGCCCUUGACUUUGGGAUAACUUCAGGAAACUGGGGCUAAUACCGGAUAGGAGCUCCUGCUGCAUGGUGGGGGUUGGAAAGUUUCGGCGGUUGGGGAUGGACUCGCGGCUUAUCAGCUUGUUGGUGGGGUAGUGGCUUACCAAGGCUUUGACGGGUAGCCGGCCUGAGAGGGUGACCGGCCCCAUUGGGACUGAGAUACGGCCCAGACUCCUACGGGAGGCAGCAGUGGGGAAUAUUGCAAACUGGGCGGAAGCCUGAUGCAGCAACGACGCGUGCGGGAUGACGGCCUUCGGGUUGUAAACCGCUUUCGCCUGUGACGAAGCGUGAGUGACGGUAAUGGGUAAAGAAGCACCGGCUAACUACGUG
rnacentral:rRNA from 1 species